GGGAGUUCGAUGAACUUGGAGGUUGCAAAGGAUGCUGGGAAUCUGGUAAACUCAGGGGCUGCAAAGGACUCUGGGAGUUUGGGCAGUAGCGGCACUGCAAAGGAUGCUGGGAGUUCGGCCAACAUCACUGCUGCAAAGGAUGCUGGGAGUCUGGCUAAUAGCAUCACUGCAAAGCAUGCUGGGAGCGUGGCCAAUGGUAUCGCUGCAAAGGACGCUGGGAGUUCGGUCAGUUCGGGGGCUGCAAAGGAUGCUGGGAGCGCGGCCAACCCGGAGGCUGCAAAGGCCUCUGGGAGUUCGGCUAACGGCAGCGCUGCAAAGGAUGCUGGGAGUUCGGCCAAGCUAGAGGCUGCAAAGGACUCUGGGAGUUCGGCCAACGCCGGGGGCGCGGGGGCCCCGGGGUGGGGACAGGGACAGGGACAAGAUGAGGGCAGGAUGGGGACAGGGACAGGAUGGGGAUGGGGACAGGGAUGGGGACAGGAUGGGGGUGGGGACAGGGACAGGGACAAGAUGAGGGCAGGAUGGGGACAGGGACAGGAUGGGGAUGGGGACAGGGAUGGGGACAGGAUGGGGGUGGGGACAGGGACAGGGACAAGAUGAGGGCAGGAUGGGGACAGGGACAGGAUGGGGAUGGGGACAGGGAUGGGGACAGGAUGGGGG
rnacentral:lncRNA from 1 species